rnacentral:rRNA from 1 species
UACGGGGGGAGCAAGCGUUGUUCGGAUUUACUGGGCGUAAAGGGCGCGUAGGCGGCCACCGCAAGUCAAUUGUGAAAUCUCCGGGCUCAACCCGGAACGGUCAACUGAUACUGCGGGGCUAGAGUGCAGAAGGGGCAACUGGAAUUCUCGGUGUAGCGGUGAAAUGCGUAGAGAUGUGGAGGAACACCGAUGGCGAAGGCAGCCUCCUGGGCCAGCACUGACGCUCAUGCACGAAAGCGUGGGGAGCAAACAGG